UACGUAGGGUACAAGCGUUGUCCGGAAUUAUUGGGCGUAAAGAGCUCGUAGGCGGUUCGUCGCGUCUGCUGUGGAAACGCAAGGCUCAACCUUGCGCGUGCAGUGGGUACGGGCGGACUAGAGUGCAGUAGGGGAGUCUGGAAUUCCUGGUGUAGCGGUGAAAUGCGCAGAUAUCAGGAGGAACACCGGUGGCGAAGGCGGGACUCUGGGCUGUAACUGACGCUGAGGAGCGAAAGCAUGGGGAGCGAACAGG
rnacentral:rRNA from 1 species